rnacentral:rRNA from 1 species
AUUGAACGCUGGCGGCAGGCCUAACACAUGCAAGUCGAACGAGUGGCGGACGGGUGAGUAAUGUCUGGGAAACUGCCCGAUGGAGGGGGAUAACUACUGGAAACGGUAGCUAAUACCGCAUACCAUCGGAUGUGCCCAGAUGGGAUUAGCUAGUAGGUGGGGUAACGGCUCACCUAGGCGACGAUCCCUAGCUGGUCUGAGAGGAUGACCUGCCACACUGGAACUGAGACACGUGCCAGACUCCUACUGGAGGCAGAGGUGGGGAAUAUGGCACAAUGGGCGCAAGCCUGAUGCAGCCAUGCCGCGGGUAUGAAGAAGGCCUUCGGGUUGUAAAUUACUUUCAUCGAGGAGGCGUUACUCGCAGAAGAAGCACCGGCUAACUCCGUGCCAGCAGCCGCGGUAAUUC